rnacentral:rRNA from 1 species
AGCAUAUAACUAAGCGGAGGAAAAGAAACUAACAAGGAUUCCNCUCAGUAACGGCGAGUGAAGCGGGAACAGCUCAAACUUUUAAUCUGCCCGCCACGCGGGCCGAAUUGUAAUCUAGAGAAGUCACGGCUGGGAGGCGCGCCGUAUAAGUCAUCCAGGAACGGUGCGUCAUAGAGGGUGAGAACCCCGUACAUGACGGCGCCGCCUCCCUUNCGCUGGGCUUUCCAAGAGUCGGGUUGCUUGGGAAUGCAGCUCUAAGUGGGAGGUAAACUCCUUCUAAAGCUAAAUAUCGGCGCGAGACCGAUAGCGAACAAGUACCGUGAGGGAAAGGUGAAAAGAACUUUGAAAAGAGAGUUAAAAAGUGCUUGAAAUUGUUAAAAGGGAAGGCGCUCGGCCCAGUGAUGUGGGCGGCGGAUUCAGAAGUCGUGGCGUGCCUCGGCGUGCGUGGGUACCGUGAGGGCCCUGCGCGCCGUUCGGUGUGCUCCGGUGACGUACUUCCGCCGAACGCAGGCCAGCAUCGAUUCGGUGGCCGGAACAGAGGCGUACGCUAGGUAGGCCGGAGGGCAACCUUUUGGCCGAUGAGCGGCGCUGCCGCCGGCUGUCGGAUCGAGGCCCCGUGACGGGGAGUGGCGCGCGCCCUGGUCUCACGACCGGGCGAAGUACGCCGGGCGGACUAGGCGUGUCGGCGGGCGGGAGCAGCAUGCUGACCCCGAACGUUAUGGACGCGCGUCUGGUCGCCGGCGCUUCGGCGCAGCCGUGAUGCUGGCGAAA